rnacentral:rRNA from 1 species
UAGAGUUUGAUCAUGGCUCAGAUUGAACGCUGGCGGCAGGCCUAACACAUGCAAGUCGAGCGGUAGAGAGAAGCUUGCUUCUCUUGAGAGCGGCGGACGGGUGAGUAAUGCCUAGGAAUCUGCCUGGUAGUGGGGGAUAACGUUCGGAAACGGACGCUAAUACCGCAUACGUCCUACGGGAGAAAGCAGGGGACCUUCGGGCCUUGCGCUAUCAGAUGAGCCUAGGUCGGAUUAGCUAGUUGGUGAGGUAAUGGCUCACCAAGGCGACGAUCCGUAACUGGUCUGAGAGGAUGAUCAGUCACACUGGAACUGAGACACGGUCCAGACUCCUACGGGAGGCAGCAGUGGGGAAUAUUGGACAAUGGGCGAAAGCCUGAUCCAGCCAUGCCGCGUGUGUGAAGAAGGUCUUCGGAUUGUAAAGCACUUUAAGUUGGGAGGAAGGGCAGUUACCUAAUACGUGAUUGUUUGACGUACCGACAGA